rnacentral:rRNA from 1 species
GGCUCAGGAUGAACGCUGGCGGCGUGCCUAAUACAUGCAAGUCGAACGGACAUAGCAAUAUGUUAGUGGCGACCGGGUGCGUAACACGUAGCUAACCUGCCCUGAAGCGGGGGAUAACAUGCCGAAAGGCGUGCUAAUACCGCAUGAGAUCAUCGGAUGUGAAGGCUGAUGAUAAAACUUCUGGGGCUUUAGGAGGGGGCUGCGGCCCAUCAGGUAGUUGGUGGAGUAACGGUUCACCAAGCCAAUGACGGGUAGGGGGCCUGAGAGGGUGGUCCCCCACACUGGAACUGACAAACGGUCCAGACUCCUACGGGAGGCAGCAGUAAGGGAUAUUGGGCAAUGGGCGAAAGCCUGACCCAGCAACGCCGCGUUGAGGAUGAAGGCCUUCGGGUUGUAAACUCAUUUUGGCAGGGACGAGGAAGGACGGUACCUGUCGAAUAAGUCACGGCUAACUACGUGCCAGCAGCCGCGGUAAAACGUAGGUGGCAAGCGUUAUCCGGAUUUACUGGGCGUAAAGCGUGUGCAGGCGGUUGAGUAAGUGGUGUAUGAAAUCUCCGCGCUUAACGUGGAGGGGUUAUGCCAGACUGCUGAACUAGAACCCAUCAGAGGGACGUGGAAUUCCGGGUGUAGUGGUGAAAUGCGUAGAGAUCCGGAGGAACACCAGAGGCGAAAGCGGCGUCCUGGGGUGGAGUUGACGCUCAGACACGAAAGCAUGGGGAGCGAACGGGAUUAGAAACCCCGGUAGUCCAUGCCGUAAACGAUGUAGACUAGGCGCCGGACGGCUCAACCCGGUCGGUGCCGGAGCAAACGCGAUAAGUCUACCGCCUGGGGACUACGGCCGCAAGGCUAAAACUC